rnacentral:rRNA from 1 species
UUGAAAGGGAAACGAUUGAAGUCAGUCGUACUUGCGGGUAAUCAGCCUUUUGGGUGUGAUUCUGUGGAGCGUGGGGAGUUAAACGCCUUCAUGCCUGCGUAUUCGCGCACUUUGGGUGUACUUGCCCGUGUGGUAGGUUAACAUCAAUUUUGAUCAUCAUAAAAUGGCUGGAGGAAUGUAGCUUCGAUCUCGUAUUGAAGUGUUAUAGCCUUCGGCAGAUGUGAUGAUCGGGAUUGAGGAUUGCAACGGAUACCCUUCGGGGCUACCUGUCUGAUCUCUGAUUGUUGCUCUGGUGCCGAAAGCGUGCUUACGGUUAUCAAAGUCGAUGGUCAACAGGUUAGAACGGGUUAAAUUCGUUAAGGAUGUUGACGUA